ACUCUCAGAGACACCCUGCACCCACAUACUGAACUCCAUUCCUGUCUUUUUUCAUCUUUAGAUGGGCAGCCUGAACCAGGAGGUUGCUCAGCUAACCAAGGACCUGCACCACAUGAUGCAUCUUCUGCAAGCACAAGUGGCUGUUCAUCACUAUACAGCCUCACUGUCCUCCUACCCUUACGGUGUGCACAUGAUGUCCAACCCAGCUACCAGCACUGCUCUGGCCUACAGCAUGGGCCCCAGCAUGCACCUGCACCAGGAGGCCCAUGGCCAUCAUCAUCAGGUGGACCACACAGUCUCGGAGAACGUCGGCAACCUCGGGGCCAGUGCGUGGAACCACAGCGGAGCACAUGGUGCUGCUAAUGCAAGUGUUCAGGAACAGUCAGAAGGUCAAGCACACUUCAACCCUCACCCUGAUCCUCUUCAUCAGCCUCCUGGUAGCCCUGAUCCUGGAUCCUCUAAAUGGACCUCCACCACCUCCUACUACACCCCUCACCAACAUUCCCUCACCAGCUCUACUCUCCUCAGAAUCAGCCCAGGUCCUCACGGUGUGGAAGCACAGGGUACUCAAACAGGGCUCGAGGACCACGCACCACCCCUUAGCGUCUUCACCGGGAGCGGAGGCCUUGCUAACAUUAGCCGCUCACAGCCCAUUUUGUGUUCUGUGCCUCAACAGAACUUGGACUACUCGCACUUACUGUCCAGCGCACCAACGUCCACGCAUUCCCUCCUGAUGGCCAGCCGCCCAUAUCCAAACCUCAAGCCGUCUGCUGAGCCCGCCAUGCCCCACUCAGCCCCGGCUCUGAGCGAACUCAACCUGAGCUCUGCGGUCGCCCACAGCGACCGAAACAUCCCGGACACCUCGAGCCUCCUGGCAGAGGACAUUGAAGAAGAUUGCGUCCUUCUGUCAGACCGUUCCCCUCCUCCUCCGAGGCUGGAUUCUGCUUCUGUGGACCUUCCUAUGGGGGACUUGAGCCACGUAGGCCACACAAGUCGCGAGUGCCUGCUGACCGAGCAAGGGUCAAUGGAGAGCCAGGACAGCGAGAUGUCCGAAUCCAGGUCUAGGAGGUCCAGCACUGGGGCGCCGUCUCAAACCCAAAGCUCUGAAACCUCCUGGUGCCUGGACCUCAUGGAUUGA
rnacentral:lncRNA from 1 species